GUGUAGAGCAGCACAUAUACUAAAAUGGGAAAAAUACAGAGAAAAUUAGCAUGGCCCCUGCAUAAACAAUUUUUUCCUGCUCAUUAAAGUUGUGUUCUGUAU